UGGCUGUAGUCCUCCUUCUGACCAUGCUGC
rnacentral:piRNA from 1 species